rnacentral:rRNA from 1 species
ACUACCUAUGGAGAGGGAUAUCCGGGAAACUGGGGCUAAUACUCAUAGACUAUGAAUGCUGGAAUGCAUCGUAGUUCAAAGGUCCGCCGCCAUAGGAUGGGUCUGCGGCCGAUUAGGUAGUUGUUGGGGUAACGGCCCAACAAGCCUGUAAUCGGUACGGGUUGUGGGAGCAAGAGCCCGGAGAUGGAUUCUGAGACACGAAUCCAGGCCCUACGGGGCGCAGCAGGCGCGAAAACUUUACAAUGCGGGAAACCGUGAUAAGGGAACUCCGAGUGCCCGUUAAAUCGGGCUGUCCAUCAGUUUAAAAAACUGGUGAAGAAAGGGCCGGGCAAGACCGGUGCCAGCCGCCGCGGUAAUACCGGCGGCUCGAGUGGUGGCCACUAUUACUGGGCUUAAAGCGUUCGUAGCUGGUUUGUUAAGUCUCUGGGGAAAUCUUCCGGCUUAACCGGAAGGCGUAUCAGGGAUACUGGCAGACUAGGGACCGGAAGAGGUGAGGGGUACUCCAGGGGUAGGAGUGAAAUCCUGUAAUCCUUGGGGGACCACCUGUGGCGAAGGCGCCUCACCAGGACGGCUCCGACAGUGAGGGACGAAAGCUGGGGGAGCAAACCGGAUUAGAUACCCGGGUAGUCCCAGCCGUAAACGAUGUGCGUUAGGUGUAUCGGUGACCACGAGUCACCGAGGUGCCGAAGAGAAAUCGUGAAACGUACCGCCUGGGAAGUACGGUCGCAAGGCUGAAACUUAAAGGAAUUGGCGGGGGAGCACCACAACAGGUGGAGCCUGCGGUUUAAUCGGACUCAACGCCGGAAAACUCACCAGAUAAGACAGCUGAAUGAUAGUCGGGCUGAAGACUCUGCUUGACUAGCUGAGAGGAGGUGCAUGGCCGUCGUCAGUUCGUACUGUGAAGCAUCCUGUUAAGUCAGGCAACGAGCGAGACCCACGCCAACAGUUGCUAGCUCGUCCCCCGGGAUGGAGAGGACACUGUUGGGACCGCCUCUGCUAAAGAGGAGGAAGGAAUGGGCAACGGUAGGUCAGCAUGCCCCGAAUUAUCUGGGCUACACGCGGGCUACAAUGGGUGGGACAAUGGGUAUCGACACCGAAAGGUGAAGGCAAUCUCCUAAACCCAUCCUUAGUUCGGAUUGUGGGCUGCAACUCGCCCACAUGAAGCUGGAAUCU